rnacentral:rRNA from 1 species
GACGAACGCUGGCGGCGUGCUUAACACAUGCAAGUCGUACGGUAAGGCCCUUUCGGGGGUACACGAGUGGCGAACGGGUGAGUAACACGUGCGUAACCUGCCCACAACUUUGGGAUAACGCUAGGAAACUGGUGCUAAUACUGGAUAUGUGCUCCUGCUGCAUGGUGGGGGUUGGAAAGCUCCGGCGGUUGUGGAUGGACUCGCGGCCUAUCAGCUUGUUGGUGGGGUAGUGGCCUACCAAGGCGGCGACGGGUAGCCGGCCGGAGAGGGUGACCGGCCACAUUGGGACUGAGAUACGGCCCAGACUCCUACGGGAGGCAGCAGUGGGGAAUAUUGCACAAUGGGCGCAAGCCUGAUGCAGCAACGCCGCGGGCGGGAUGACGGCCUUCGGGUUGGAAACCGCUUUCAGCAGGGACGAAGCUUUUUGUGACGGUACCUGCAGAAGAAGCACCGGCUAACUACGUG